rnacentral:rRNA from 1 species
GGGAAUAUUGCACAAUGGGGGAAACCCUGAUGCAGCGACGCCGCGUGAGCGAUGAAGUAUUUCGGUAUGUAAAGCUCUAUCAGCAGGGAAGAAAAUGACGGUACCUGACUAAGAAGCCCCGGCUAACUACGUGCCAGCAGCCGCGGUAAUACGUAGGGGGCAAGCGUUAUCCGGAAUUACUGGGUGUAAAGGGAGCGUAGACGGUGAUGUAAGUCUGGAGUGAAAGGCGGGGGCCCAACCCCCGGACUGCUCUGGAAACUAUGUGACUGGAGUGCAGGAGAGGUGAGCGGAAUUCCUAGUGUAGCGGUGAAAUGCGUAGAUAUUAGGAGGAACACCAGUGGCGAAGGCGACUUUCUGGACAGUAACUGACGUUGAGGCACGAAAGUGUGGGGAGCAAACAGG